CCUGUAUUCUCUGCAAAUAACUCGAUAUCUCCUUCAUUUCCGGUGUAAACGAAGAUUGGUGAUCCGCUCUUCAAUCCACCCCAAUGCCGAUCAUCAAACAAAUAUUUCUGCUGAAAAGUUUCGUAACUCUGAGAGGUUUGGAUCCAAUGAGACCUGCAGGGAAUCUAGAGAUGGCUGCAUUCAAGAGAGAAGGGUAAAGAGAUUGGAGAAGGAAGAAGAAAGAGAAGAGAAAAGUUAUUGAGGGCAUCAUGUUGUUGUUAGUGUUGGAGAGGAUGAGGAGGAAUAUAUGCAAGUUUAGGUUUGACUAUGGAGUUGUUUGUUGUCAAAGUUGGUUAGAAAAACAUGGGAUUUUCUUGCUACUAUGACUAAUACGGAUUUUUGUGAUACAGCUCUUCUCCUCUGUAACAAGCAGUAUUAAAUUGGUGCUCA